CAGUUGAUUGUCAAAAUACGAUUGCAGAUCGAAAUUUUCUCCGAUCGGGCUUUCAAAUGGCUGCUGCAUAUAUUUGCUUUAAUUAAUGAUGAUUUCGUACUUGAGUUGCGAGGCGACUGUUGAGAUGAAUACGAUGUUGCAAUGGAUGUGUAUUUGUGUCAUGUUUUUGCCCUGCCCUUGCUCUCUUCCUCACUCUUGUUGGCUGGCCAGAUUGCACUGUAAACUAUUUUAAAUACCUCGAAGCAUAGGACCCAUUGUCCUGCUAAAUCAACGUUUGGUUUGUGGGUUUUUAUGUGGGUAUUUUGAGUGGGUGUGAUCCAUUGGUUGUGCAGGUGAAUGUGCUCUUGGAGUCGCAUGUGAUAAUUUCUGAUUGCCGACGGUAUUAGGAGUCCGCCUUGGACGCACUUCAAGAGUCUGUGGUGAGCGCUUGGAGCAUUUCGCUUAGGGUUGCGAUUAACAACAACCAGAUCAUUCAAGUGAACCUGAUCCAAGACAAUCUACAGUCUUUGAUUUCUUGUAGAAAGAUCGACCUGACGUACGCAACGCAGGAGGAGACCAACUUAUCGUUCAUCCGACGAUUCGAUGCGUAGCUGGAUUACCCGUUCUUUGAGCACCAGGUGGGUGUGAGGAGGGAGCGGAGGGCUGAGUUGCAAGAUUUGUGUAGCGACUGGAUGACUCAAGGGGCUUCUCGGCAGGCUGUGCAUUACUAGGGAUUAGAAUUGUCAUCUGCUACAACUAAUGAUUUUGUCUGUUCUACCAUUUCUUUGUUUCCAUUUCAAGAAGGAAUUCUAGGAAGAAAAUCAAAGUAAA